rnacentral:rRNA from 1 species
UACAGAGGGUGCGAGCGUUAAUCGGAGUUACUGGGCGUAAAGGGCGCGUAGGCGGUUAGUUAAGUUAGAUGUGAAAUCCCUGGGCUUAACCUAGGAACUGCAUCUAAGACUGGCAAGCUAGAGUAUUGUAGAGGGUAGUGGAAUUUCCGGUGUAGCGGUGAAAUGCGUAGAGAUCGGAAGGAACACCAGUGGCGAAGGCGGCUCACUGGCCCGGUACUGACGCUGAGGUGCGAAAGCGUGGGGAGCAAACAGG